rnacentral:rRNA from 1 species
AUACAUCGGAAUCUACUCUGUCGUGGGGGAUAACGUAGGGAAACUUACGCUAAUACCGCAUACGACCUACGGGUGAAAGCAGGGGACCUUCGGGCCUUGCGCGAUUGAAUGAGCCGAUGUCGGAUUAGCUAGUUGGCGGGGUAAAGGCCCACCAAGGCGACGAUCCGUAGCUGGUCUGAGAGGAUGAUCAGCCACACUGGAACUGAGACACGGUCCAGACUCCUACGGGAGGCAGCAGUGGGGAAUAUUGGACAAUGGGCGCAAGCCUGAUCCAGCCAUACCGCGUGGGUGAAGAAGGCCUUCGGGUUGUAAAGCCCUUUUGUUGGGAAAGAAAUCCAUCUGGCUAAUACCCGGGUGGGAUGACGGUACCCAAAGAAUAAGCACCGGCUAACUUCGUGCCAGCAGCCGCGGUAAUACGAAGGGUGCAAGCGUUACUCGGAAUUACUGGGCGUAAAGCGUGCGUAGGUGGUCGUUUAAGUCCGUUGUGAAAGCCCUGGGCUCAACCUGGGAACUGCAGUGGAUACUGGGCGACUAGAAUGUGGUAGAGGGUAGCGGAAUUCCUGGUGUAGCAGUGAAAUGCGUAGAGAUCAGGAGGA